GGAAAGAUGGCGUGCCCAGGAAAACCAGCAACACGGCAGAGGUGGGAACUCCAUCCAUGUCACUCAUGGGCAGAGAGAGAGAGAAGAGGGGAGCGGGAUCACCGAGAACUCAGCUGUGACAGCACUAGGCUUCACCAAGAAGGUGAGGAUUAGCUACUUUUCCUACUUCAAGCUCUGGAGGAGAAGUGAACAUGAACUCCUAGGGCUACUACACUGAAUUUUGAUAGCAACCAGCACACGCUGAAUCAUAGCUUUUGAAACAGGAGAUGAAGAAAUAACAAUCAGGAAAUGAAAACAGUUCAUCUCCUACACGUCUAUUGUCUGCUAUUUCUGCUUGAGGAGAGAAAACGCAGUGGAGAAUAUUCAAAACAGCUCCAUUACUUUGAAGUGAAUAAAUGGUCAGGAAAAGAGGCAGAAGAUGAAAGGUUCUACAUAUCCAUUUAAG